AAAUCUGAUCUCAGACACUUGUUAGCUGUGUGAUCUUGGGCAAGUCACUUAACUCAGUUUCUUUUUCUGUAAAAUGGACUAGAGAAUAAAUGGCAGCUACUCUAAUAUUUUUGGCCAAGAAAACCCCCAAAAAUGGGGUCAUGAAGAGUCAGAUGUGAUUGAAUGACAAUAAAUUAUUAAUUAUUAAACUAAAUUAUGUCUUGAGAGUCCCAAGGUAUUAUUUAACAGAAUAUCUCUUGGCACUUGUCUUAGGGAAUCUGUACUGCAGGCAUCAAUUUAUCUCCAGAUCUAUCUGCUGUUUCCCCAAGAGACCAGGUUGGAGAUGCUGUGGAUUCAAAAUCACUGAGGCAAUCACAACUUUAUGAAAAUUACGUGAAAACUAGAUUUAUUAUAAGAGAAAUGAACAAGCAUGUGGAACCCAAAGAGUCCAAUCCAUACAGAAGUCUGUGUAUUUAUGACAGCAAGACAAAGAGAGAAGGAGAAAAUACAAAAGUCCACUAAAGGAUGGGGAAACGUGCAGUAAAGGUGGACAAAGGACCCCUUCUAAAGGGGAGGAGCAAGGCGAGGGCAAAAGCCACAUUCUUUUCCCUUUGGAAC
rnacentral:lncRNA from 1 species